ensembl:lncRNA
AAAAAAACUGACUGCAAGGCUUAAUUAUCAUCUUUUGUGUACUGUUUUAUACGUAGUACUGUUGCUGUUUAUUGUUAUAUAUGUAGGCAUAUAUAUAUAUAUAAUAUUAAAAAAGCGUUGAAGUCGUAGUGUAAUGCUGAUUUGUGCGUGUGUGUAUGUCUUUCUCUCUUUCUUUCGCGCGCGCUCUCUCCCUCUCUCGUGAGCAGCGAAUCCGUCCUGAGUUUCCAAGCGAAAGUUGCAUGGAGACACACAGCGUAAGACGCGUGUAAUGAAGAGAAUGGUGAGAGAGGGAGAGAUAAAAGAGAAGGAAAGCACGAACAAACUCAUACCAAGCGAGAUCACAACAGAUCUCCACCGACUAGUCUGUUUUAGGAAAAAGAAAUAAGGGCAUCGGGGCGAUAUUGUAAAAAAAAAAAAAAAAAAAAAAAAAAAAAAAAAAACACUGCAUCGAUGCAACAGAAGCGACUCGGAGCCCUUGCACGGAGUUGGAGAGGCUGAAAUUAAUGUACAUUGCAUGCACUCCACGUAACGCUCCGGAGCGAUGCCUUUGUGAGUGUUUUUUUUUCGUACUGCGAGCUAAAAAUAGCAGCAGUGUUUGAUCGCGCUCCAGAAAUAGGCAGAGGGGUAACACAAGUAUAAAAAGGACUGCAAUUCUGAGAAACCUUGGACAUUGCUGAGCAAGGGCUCAUUGCAUAGGUAAGUACAUGGGCAAAGCGUUGUACUUCUUGUGUUUGGUUAUUUGCAACUGGGUUUGAUGCAUGCAUGGUGUUGGGUUAUACAGAAGCCAUUCCCGCCACAGAACAGAAACGACGCAGGGGUAAACAACAUUUUAACCACUGGCAUGGACUUCAUCCAAGCUUUGAUUGUAACUUCAUGUGUGUUUUUUUUUUCUCUCAGCUUCAUGGAAAUUAAAACGCCAUCUCUCUCGAGCAGGAAUCUCACAAAUCGUAAAUAUGACAAGCAAAAAAAAAAAAAAAAAAGCAAGACCAAACUCAUUUGUCUGACGGCGCUGUUGAGCCAUUUUACGCUUUCUGUCUUCGUUACAACUGAAAUUUCGCGAAUGGAAAUCCCUACCAUCAGAGGAACACCGGGUGAUGUUGGUUUACUAAACGAAGAGGACACUAGAUGAAAGCAUGCAUGGGAAAGAAGGAGUGCCACGAGGCGCUGAAGGAGAGCCGACACGGGGGGAACCCACAGGCUGCGCAGUUGGGCUGAAAAUACAAUGUGGCGUCAAGGGGAGCCUGUGCUCCUGCUCGACCUGCACCAAAAUUACCCUCAACUAGGCAUUUCUUUUUGAAUCCCACCCGCAGAUGGACGCAUCAGCGCGAAUACUCUGCUUUCCAGAGUCGUUCGAAAUGCAUCCUUAAGUUUCGUAUUCUAACUCCGCAUGACAGUUUUCCCGCCUGCUUUGUUCGUACAAUUCAGUUUGCAGUUAGAAGCUAAAGAUAAUAAUAUGGUAAUAGGCGGGCUGACUUGGAUUACUCUUCCGCCCACGUCAUUUUCAUUAUACAGCGCUGCAACACACUGUGGGUUUUUUUGUUUUGUUUUUUUCUUUUCGUUGCUAUGAACUGAAAUACUGCUCCGGUGCUGGCACACAUGCAUUCACUGUUUAUUUAUCAGUUCUAUUUACCUACAGAGUAUCACCAGCAAUCACAAAACUGCGUCUGUCAGUAGCCUACUCUUGACAGAUUUGUAACUUCAAGUGCAGCACACAGACUUCGCUGAAAUUUGGCAUAAAUCUGUCCAAGUCCGUGCUUUAGAGUGAGAAUACCUGCGCGUAAGAAACAACAGUUGGUAGACUCCGCUAUCGCGAUAUAUCGCGCCAAAGAGCAGUUACACUGUAACAAUGUAGCUCGUACGAGUCGACUUAGAUAGCAGAUUUCAGUUUUAUACGAGACGUGCAGUGCUUUCUACCCGAGUAUUCGUUAUCCUAGUUAUAUUUGUUGUAUACCUACCAAGAUACAUCAUCCAAAUGAAAUAAACACUGAAACUGGUCCAUUACUUCUAUCAGGAAUGUAAACCUGUAUUUAAUGAGCUGCACGACAUGGGAAACGAGAAGAAAAAAAAACGAUGUUGGUAACCUUGACCUCAAAGACCAUGUGGCUUUCUUUGUUAAACGCACCUAGUCGAGACAUGCCAAAAUCUUCUUAAAUAAUGCAAUACUGAUGGUGUAAUUUUGGUGGCAAAACAGAUUUCUCCGAGUCGUGACUGCUAUAGUGAGUAAUAUGGGCGCGUUGGCUGCGUCAGGAGAUGCAGUCGCUGUGCGCUGCAGACGGAAGGGGGAGAAUCGUGACUGACUGCUGGAGACGUCCGCAGACGAAACAACCACCCAACAAAAACAUCUUAAUGGCAUCUGUGCAAGAUAUUUACACAUGCUAUCUCUCUAGCCCGUUACUCUUUGUGUUGAGCCACCUCAACCUCCCCUUGCACCACCGAAGACAUGAGAAGAAUAUCUGUGAUUAAGGGACGGGAGGGAGGAUCUGAGUUUGGGAUGAGUUCCGACUGCUGUGUGUGUGUGUGUGUGUGUGUGUGUGUGUGAGAGAGAGAGAGAGAGAGAGAGAGAGAGAGAGAGAGUGUUUGUGUGUGUGUGUGUGUGUGUGAGAGAGAGAGAGAGAGAGAGAGAGUGUGUGUGUGUGUGUGUGUGUGUGUGUGUGUGUGUGUACCGGCCGGGGAGGGGGGUCCAGAUAUAGAUCGUGACCCUCCCACCUAGUACAGUUUCUUGUAUAUAGUUCCAAAAAGGGAUUGCCAGAGACUUUGUGGUGCAUUUUUGACAAAUGAUUGCUAUGUGGAUAUAGGAACAGGAAUUCUCUGGGUUUUACAAAAACAUUUGGAAGGAGUCUAGUCACUACAGACAUCUCAGAGUCUUCUUCAUGCUGCCCCAUGCACAUUAUUCACCUCCAUGGUGAAACCUGGAAGUCUGAAGAUCCACAGAUGUCAUCUGAGGCACCACCUACAAUUUUCUGCUUCUAUUAUCAGUAAAUGGACAUUUCCGUGUGCCAAGCAUCCUGUCGCAGUACCAUAUCGCGUUUCUACAGAGAGCACAGAGAGCAAGACAGAGGAAGGGACGAUGGUGGGCAUGUGCUGAGAUUCAGAAUGAAGUGGAUGAAUCAGUCAACACAGCUAGACAGGCCAUGCUGAACAAAAUCUUGUGGUUGUGUAUCUGCAGAAACUUUAAAGGGAGGAUUUAAGCAGCUUGUACAGAUGACCGUCAUGAACACGUGCACAGGGAUUUGGAUAACUGCGUUGAAAUUCAUUUAGGACUGUUCUGUACUCGUCGAGGGCAGCUGGUUAAUUAAGGACCAAUUUGACACCGUCAGGUAUUUAAGUUUCUGUCUCUAUAGGGCUUGCGUUUGGAGCAGUAUGCAGACUUUGAGGACGUUGCCAUUGCCAGUCGUUUCUUGAUGUAUAUGAUGCGUAUGGUAUUUAAAAAAAAAAUAAGUAAAUAAAUAAAACCAAAAAAGCAGAAUAAGGUAAGGACCAAGACGUAUGCUAAACUAAACUCUGGAGGAUGAAGUAAAACAUUUAACAUUCUUAAUGUGGCUUGUUGGAGCACGACUGCGUGUGUGUUUCGUUUGUCUGUAAGUAGGCUGCUGUGUGGCAGGGGCAGAGGGUGAUACUGUUAAAUAGGUGCAGGGUCUCCAACGUUAUCCUAGAGGACAAUGAGUGUUUUCUGCGCAAAGCUGUGAAUGAUUGUAGCAGGACGAUUCUUACAAAAAUUAUUUUUGAGGUUUUUGAUGCGCAGUUAAUGUCGAGAAGGUCGCUGUCCACUGCAAAGGUGCUGAUAAUGAAAAUCUGCACACAGACAUGAGAUUUUAGUGUGUAUAUGUCGGACUAUACGUUAGGUAAAUUGUCUAUAAUUGUUUGAUUGCUUAUAGUGAUGUUAAGGGUGAUACAGACACACAGCACAUCGUAGUUCUAACAUAUGUCCACGGCUUAAGAUCAAUUACAUCCUCAGGCAUAGUGUCCGAAAUAAAUUUAAUCGAGAGGCACAUAGGCAAUUGUAAUGGUAAUGUACAAAACAACCAGAAAGCAGGAGAAAGGUGAGACAUGUGAAAACAUCGAUACUGCAAGUGGGGUGAGAGUGGUUCAGGGCGAGGGUGUGUGUGUGCAUGUACCCUUUGGGUGGAGUAUCUCUAAAUUACUGAAUAUGAAUGAUUUUAUUUAACAUAAAAAUAAACACGAGGCAAUCUGUGGAACAACGCGAGGGGUGUACGUCUAAAAACACACUAUAAUCCACGCUGCAAUCCAAACGUCAACUGUAGUAGGCUGACAGUGUCUCUAACAAUAUAAAAGGAUUUAUUUGAAAU